CUUCCGCGUCGGCGAGUGGCGUGGGCUGUGACGUCACUGCGCCCUGACGUCAGGCCUACGUGCGGCACGGUCUCCCGGGAGACCGGGGAAGCCGUUUCGCCCCCGGCGGAGUCGAAGCCUAGAUUAUUUUACUCCAGAGCUCCCUCAGUAUAUUUGGGGAAAUUAUGGAUCGUCACAUUCCCAUGCAUGCAUUACCCGAAGAAAUCCAAAAGAUGUCCCCUGAAGAAAAAGUUUGUAAGUUCUGUGGAGUCAGCUAUCUAAUUCUCCAUGAGUUUAAGGCUAUGGAAGAAAAAGUGAAAGCGAUGGAAAAAGAGAUGAAAUUUUAUCAAGGAAGUGUGGAACGUGAAAAGAAACUUCAGGAAAAGCUACAGUUUCUUAGCCAAGAUUUUGAACAGUACAAAAUUGACAAUGAAUCCAAAACAGAAAGGUUGGGUGGAAGAUUGGUGGAGUACAACUAUUUCUGGACUAAGACUCUUUCAUUACUUACUUUUACUAAAAGGGAGCUAACCAGUAUUAAAAAUGAAGUAUAUGAUAAUUUUCAAAACUGGACUUCACUGAAAGGAGAACUUUUUCUACAAAUUAAAUCCAUAAGUGAAACAGCCUUGACAGAAAUAGAGAUACUAAAUAAAAGUUUGACACAGUGCCAGAGAAAUAAGGUAUGCCUUGAAGAAGAAAUGAAAAAUCUGAAAGUAUUGUCAGAUGCAGCCAUCCUGAGGUCUCAGCAGAUUCAGACGUCCACACAGCAGGAAGUGAACUUGCAAAGCAGAUGCCAUGACCUGGAAAAACAAGUCCUGGAUUUACAGUGUCAAGUAGAGGCACUCGGGCUAAAGCUUCAGAAGGCAGCGACCGAGAUGGACAGCUGCAAAGAAAAGCUCAUGAAUAAAUCUAAUGAAGCUGAUGACAGUCAAAGAGAACUUAGAAAAUUGAAGUUUCAAUCCGUUAUUUCUGAGUCACGGCACACCAGAUUGCUUAAAGAAAAAGAAGAUUCUUUAGUGGCUUGUCAACAAAUAUACAAAACUUUACAGGAGGAACUGACUUCAAAAGAAAGGCAAGAAGAAGACAUGAAAAGAAGAAUUAACCUUGCAGAGAGUGAACUAGAGAUAACCAAAACUCUUCUGAGUCAGACAAAGGAACAGGUGGCAACACUGAAAAGCGAAAGGGAAUUGAUGCUGAUUUCACAUCAGAAAAGCAUCGAGCAGCUGCAGGAAACUCUUAGACAGAAGCUGCUGAAUGAUGACAACUGGAGGGAGAAGAUUGAAGCUGAACUCGCCAAGGAAAGGGCCCGACAUUUAGUUGAAUUUGAGGAGCAAGCCCUUCUCUUUAAGGAAGAAGCUAAACUGGAACUUGAUAUUGAGAAGGAAAAACACCAAGAAAUAGUCCAAAAGUAUAAGAAAGAACAAGAGGAAGUGCAAAAGAAGAUAUCUGACUUAAUCGCAGGCGCUACUAGAGAUCUAAGGCUGGAAGUGGCCACUCUUGAAGAAAAACUCCAUGAAUCUCAUAUCCGAUACACUGAAGAAUCUGAGUCAAAGGAGAAAGAAAUCAAAAACCUUAAAAAUUUGGUUGCAGAAUUUGAAUCUCGCUUGAAGAAGGAAAUUGACAGUAAUGAUUCAGUUUCAGAGGACCUGAGGAAAGAAAUGAAACAGAAGUCAGAUGAACUGGAAAGAGUAAUGCUGGCACAAAUGCAACUGAUACAGCAAUUUAACCAGUCCCGGGAAGAGAACACUUUUCUUCAGGAAACAGUGCGUAGAGAGUGUGAAGAACGCUUUGAACUGACGGAGGCUUUGAGUCAAGCCAGAGAACAGCUCCUGGAGCUCAGGAAGCUCAGUGGAAGCUUGCCGUUGUCACCGUGUUCCCUCAGCCGGGGCAGCCUAACCUCCUCUGCUGCGGUGGGCAGUAAUUGCGGAGAGAGGAGCCUGGCAAGACUGAACUCUGAAAAAAGAGUCAAAAUCUCCAGCCUGCAUGGAGUGCCAAAACCCACCACAUCCCCACCCUCAGCUCAGCCCGGGAGGGGCAGUAGCUCAGGUUUGUCCACUCUGCCCCAACCACAUCCUCCCAGGGGCCGAGCAUCUUCAGUAAACGAGACCAGACAAAGACUGGCUGCUGUUCUGCAGAGGAGACUGAAUCAGCAGUGACUGAUCCAAAGUCAGCAGCAACUCCAACAGCCUGCCUGGUCUUUCCCCGAGUGCCGGAGGCUCACUGCAACUGAGGAUGACAAGGAUCAAAAUAUUAUCACACAUCAAGAAUGCAUGUCUAUAGUUUUAACAAGAGAAUAGGAAAAGCUACUUUGAAAUUACAACAGAUAAUGAAGUUGUUGGUACUCCAGACGGCUGAUUUCUCUAUUUAUGUGUUGUGUGUUUAGCUGUGCUCUGUGAAAACGCCCUUUUAGAGAUCACAGCAACCUAGCGUCCUAAAAGGCUGAUGCCCUGCAGCUGAAAACUCCUAACCAGCAUGUUGAAUCUUAGGAAGCACAGAAAAUCAAUUUGGUAUGUGCCCAAAGUUCACAAAUUCUAUAAUGAUUAUGGAUAUUUUUACUUUUCACUUUCAUUUUUUAAGAAAAUAAUUAAUGUACACUGUAUCUUGCACAGGACACCAUUAAAGGUCCCCAAACCAUGACAGACAAUAGUGGGAGAAUUCCUAAAAUGGGUAUAUGGUAUCUUACGGAAGAAAUUCUACUUUUCCUUUUGAAAAUGUUAACCCUGUGUAGUCAUGAAUUGUGAAGCCGAUGUAAUUGCAUUGCAUCUUUAGAGUCUUAAAUAUAAAUUAUAUCAUCUUUGUAUAUUCUGAAUUCAUACAUAAAAUUUUCUUAACAACACAGUAUUGAAUCUGAAACACACUUAUCCUAUGACAAGAUUUACCUUGAUCCAGAAAGAUAAGAUUCCCCUCUUCUCCAGCAUUUAUAUAGCAUAGUGCUUUAUAAAUAUAUUCAUUGAGUAAAAAGAAUUACUAGACAUCCCUUAUCCCCUCCCCCAAAAUAUACGAGAGAAUACGGGAUCAUAGAGAUUAAGUAAUUUGCCAAAAAUAACUAAUAGAGAAGCCAAAUAAUUUUUAAACUUCCGCAGUUUCUGAGCAUCUUGAUCUGCAGAACAAUACUGAAGCUAUAUUAUACAUCCGCUCAUUUCUUUAACAGAUACAGAUACAGAUACUGGAAAAGCACUGGAAGAACUCCAAAGAUAAUUCAGACAUACCACAAACUGCCAAGAACUGUAGAGCAGAGGGUGGGGGGAAGCACGUGCAGAAAUUAUAACAUAGGGCAGGAGGUGCUGAGUAGAGAAGAGGAUCGAAAGCAAGGUGUUAUAUGAGUUCAACCUCUUGCUGGGAGAAUCUUACACUUUAAGUAAGAAUUGGCAUUUACAAUAGGUCUUGAAGGAUGAGUAAGGUUUUAUAGAAGGUAGAUAGAAGAAGUUAGAGGAGAUGGAUAAACAGAGGCACAGAUAUGAAAGGUGUAGAAAAUCCAUGGUAAGGGCAAGUAGUGGAAACCUGACCCCAUGGCAUGAAGGUGUUGAAGGCAGGCCCAUUGCAGGACUUUGACUGGAAGGGGCAUGUACUUUGCUGAAAUUUGUGACCAUUGCUCUGGCAGGACUGUACUGGAAUAAUUAUGGAGUAGAAAGGCUGCAGGUGGGACAUCAGUGGGUAGAGUAGUGCAGCAGUCCAGAUAAGAGUUAAUGAAGUUCUGAAUAAAAGUGUUGAUCAUGGGAAUAAACAGGAAGGAGCUGACUCAAAUGCUAUUCAGAGAAGGGAAAGAAUUCGUUCCCUGUUAAAUGCACUUUGAAACCAUUUCCAGCCAUUGCCACUUAGCAGAGGUGCAGUGUAUGAGAUUAGCUCCAAUUAGGGGGUCGCCCUGUAUUUAAGAAUACUACGCUUCUCUAAAAAAUGUGAAAUAAUAGGAACUACAUUCUCAUUUGGGCAACAGAUAACUAACCCCACAGACUCAAUAUUCAUAAGAAUUCUCCUUAAAAUUAAAGGAAAAUACAAAUCUUAUAUAUAGUUCUAAGUAUUAUGGGGGAAGAAUGUGGAAAUUGCCGUUAAAAAAAUAGAAAGCAAAGAACACAAAGCACAGCUCAAUGGUGACUUUGGGAGUAAUACAGUGCAAUAAAACUUUCUAAUUUUGCUAACUGUUUAUGAGGGAAAAUAUAGAAGAUAGCAGCCAGAAUAAAAAUAAGAGUUAUCUUAAAAUCCUUAAAUGUGAUGGUUCUGAAGAGACUGACACAUCGCCUGGUCAAGCCCUGUAAUUUUACGGAAGGAGAUAAUAGGUCCCUUAGAGGUUACGUAAUUUUUCAUUCUUACAGCUGCUUAGCAGCCAACUGGAUGAGAGCGCCUGGGCCUCCAACUCCUGGCCACACAUCUCAUCUCUAAACCGGAAGAACAGUGUCAGCGCUCUAAAUUUGUGCUACUCCAAGUGGUCCAGCAGGAUCAAUGUCUCCUGGGAGCUUGUCAGACAUGCAGAAUAUCAGGCCUCACACCCAAAGCCACCGAAUGAAAUCCAAUUUCAUGAUAUCCUCAGGUGACUCUUGGACACCUUAAAGUAUGGGAAUCAGUGCUCUCAGUGGUGCCAUUGGCCCUGGAGUCUUCCACCUCCGACAGCUCUGCGUUAGCACUGAGCAGAAACAGCCUUGCUGUGCUCAGUUCUCUUAGGCCCAACUGAGACCAGUGGUGCCCGGAGACCCCACGCCGCUGACCCAUUCAACACCUCGGCUCCAGAUGCACUCAAAUCCUGUUUUUUCACCUGCUGAUUGUGAAUCUGUAACUCUCCAAGAAAACCGGCAAAUUAAAGAAAUCAAUAGUCAAUCAAUAUUCACAAAUAAAUCAUCACCCAAGUUUCUGAGCCCGCAAAGAACUAGAGAUUUAUUAUUUUUUAAAAAGUCCAGUAGAAAUGCUUUCAUUUUUCUCAUUGGCGACUCACUGAAUAAUCUUAAAUUUUAGUUUCAUAACAGUAUAUAUUUGAACAUCUGAUUACCAAAGAAAGUUUGCUAAUGCUGGUUGUCUUUUGGGGCUUGUGAAACAUAGACUAUUUAGAUAACUUAUUAGAAUUAUGAAGGAAAUAGAGACCAUUAUUCUUCCUGAAAGUAGUUCUUAAUCACUUAAAUAUAAAACUGUUACUUGCAGGAUUACACCUCGAUCAAUUUAUUUUAAAGGUAGAACUAACAGUAAUUGAAAGAGAAUUUGACUCUGAUUCUCAAUUUCAGAAUCUAUAUUUAACAACAAGGCACGAUGCUCACUGGCCUGUGAGCAUGGCUGGCUCAUCUGGGUGGCCACACGUUUUACAAUUUUUGAAUUCAGAAAAUAAUGAAAAGGAUUGAUUUCAUUUGCCAUUAAAAAGGUUUUGAGUAUCUUUUAUUAACAUACUUAGUGCUGAUAUUUAGCUUGUAUGGUUAUUUGUUAUCACUAUUAAUAAUUCCCAUAAAUAAUAAUGAUUCAAGUCCAAGAAUUAGACAGACGUAAUUUAUAAUAUUGAAGCAUUUUUAUACGGAGGCUUUCAUAAGACCUAACACUGGGAAUAUAUUUUUUUCUGAAAAAUAUGAGCGUCUGGCUUUGCAUUGUGCUCCACUGUGAGAUAUACCCACCUUUCUCCCAGGUGAGCUCAAUAUGGCCUCUAACACAUUAAUCCAAAGAUAUGCCUACUGAAUUCUGUCUUCUUAAAGUGAGUGAGGGGCCGGCCUGUGGUGUAGUGGUUAAGUUCAGCUCCGCUUAGGCGGCCCAGGGUUUGAGGGCUCAGAUCCUAGCCCCAAUCAUCAAGCCACGUUGUGGCCGCAUCUCACAUAAAGUAGAAGAAAAUUGGCACAAAUGUUAGCUCAGGGCCAGUCUUCCUCACCAAAAAUAAAUAAAUUAAUUAAAGUGAAUGAGUUCUAUAGUUGUAAUUUUCUAUCUGGAACCUUAAAUUUCUAGGGAUUUUAAGUUACUGCCAGGAUUCAAGCAACUGCUUCUUUACACUGACUUACAGCAGAAUAUCUUAAAACCCAGGGCUGCCGCGUUUCCAUACUCUAUUAUUAGACUUUUAAAAUGUUUGAGGUUGAAGCUGAGAUCUCAUAGGAUCUCAAAACUAGAAUGUUCUUGUUGCUCCGAGGAGUACACAGCGCUCAGGGUAGCACCGGGCUUGGUGAGAAAAGCAGAGGUCAGGGGCGGAGUCCACCGCCUCUUCUGGAGCGGGAUUGGGCCAGGGCUCCGCCCACGUGCCCCCUCCAGUCUGUAAGUCAAUGCUGUUGCCGAUGUCCCCUGAACAUGAAACUGUUACUUUAACAUAUUUUAUGACUGUAAACCUUUUAUUGAACUCCUAUCAUAUUAAAUUACUACAAAAACACAUACAUAAUUUUAUAAAGCUAUUCUCCGUUAUUAUUAAUUAUGAUUAGUAGACAUUUAAAACAACAUAAAUACAUUACAAAUUUUGGUAAAUAAUUAUUGAGCAUAAAAGUGAAAUUUUAUUGACUGCAUUUCUUGAUGAGAUGAACCUAUCUAAUGUUUUCUUUUAUGUUUAAUGAAAAAGAAGGUAGAUGCAGUCAAAAAUAAUUCGUCUGUAUGUAGGGUCUUAUUUACUUUUUAUUAAUAGGAAAUAGAAAAUAUUAAACAUUUUAAGAUGAAAUAAGAUGAGGAUUUUACUGUAUUGUAACAAACAUUGCAAACAGUAUCUGAUAAGAAUUGUUUUAACUACUUCAUUGAAUAAUAAGUGCCAAAUGGAAAGACCUCCUAGCACUUCUAUCUAGUAUAGCUUGAAAAUUUCAGUAGUUUAAGAAAACAUUCUAAUUACAUUUAAGAGAAUUAGUGACACUAACCUGUACGGCUUUGCUAUUUAAAAUUUCUUUUCUUUCCAGCUAAUGAUGAGUCCUAGGGAUGAAUACCAAGAAGAGCUGAACAGGGCUGCCUGGAUUUAAAUGCCCUGCCAGAGGGGGCGUUUUCAACAGUCAACACUCCCUACUAAUGUUCCUUUGCCUUGCUUUCACGAAGCUGUCCCUCAGAUGUGUCCUUUGACAAAUCCAGAGCCUAGAGGAAGAGAACCAUUAGUCCAAAAUUGUCUAACUCCCAUCACUACAGUGUACCUUGAAUGUGAACUCAGAAAACCCCAAUGUGAGCUAAAAUAUCACAUUUCUAGCAUGACACUGUAACAGGCAUAUUUAUAGGCAGGGUACCUCAGGUCAGAUAGUUGGCCUCACAGACCUCAGAUCCAAGACAGAGGCUGUGCUCCCCUCCCUCAGCCUGCCUCCACCAGAGGGACGGGGUGUCAGGGAGAGCCACUCAUCCUUCUUCUGGCCUUGGGCCCCAGAGGACAGAAGAGGGAUAUUUCUGAGUGCAGCACUGGUGGUGUCCUUGUGGUUCUCUGCGACCAUGUCCCCAUGGAACUCUUUAUAACACGCUUACCCAGAGUCCCAGAAUGGACCACGCCCAUCCACCUUAUGCAGUCUGAGGCUGAGGGGCAGUCACCAAGAAGCAAGUGCUCCUUCAAUUUCCAGCCCCUGGCAGCAGUAGACGCGGCGAGGAGGAAUGUGAGCCAUAAAGAUCAAGUCUGGGGUCAGGGAGGGCUUAAAUUCUUUGUAACUAGCAUGGUUGGAACUCUGACUCAAUAAUUGUUAAUGUCAUCAAAUUCUUGACAUGGACAUGACUCAUUAACUUGGGGAAAAACAGAUUAUACUUGUUUUUACCAUUCGUGCCCUGGACAUAGUACAUUGGUAGGGAGAGAUGGAAAGAGAUGUUUUUCCGUAUUUUGAUGUCAUUGUUCAUGACUCAGAUAUAGUCUCUAUAUAUACAACCAAGUUUAGAGUUUCUUUGGCUUAUGUAUUAAAGGUCCUUGAAAAUG